rnacentral:rRNA from 1 species
GAUGAACGCUAGCGGCAGGCUUAACACAUGCAAGUCGAGGGGCAGCGCGGGGUAGCAAUACUCUGGCGGCGACCGGCGGAAGGGUGCGUAACACGUGAGCAACCUGCCCAUAUCUGGGACAUAACCGGUGGAAACGCCGACUAAUUUCCCAUAACAAUUUAGAAUGCAUGUUCUGAAUUUGAAAGAUUCGUCGGAUAUGGAUGGGCUCGCGGGACAUUAGCUAGUUGGAGUGGUAACGGCACACCAAGGCGACGAUGUCUAGGGGUUCUGGAGGGAAGGUCCCCCACAUUGGAACUGAGACACGGUCCAAACUCCUACGGGAGGCAGCAGUGAGGAAUAUUGGUCAAUGGACGGAAGUCUGAACCAGCCAUGCCGCGUGAAGGAUUAAGGCCCUAUGGGUCGUAAACUUCUUUUGUGGUGGAGCAAUAAGGUCUACGUGUAGAUUGAUGAGAGUACAUCACGAAUAAGCAUCGGCUAACUCCGUGCCAGCCGCCGCAGUAACAC